CGUCAAGAAUAAAAGAAAAAUUUAAAGGUCAAACAAUUUGACAAAAAACAAUGUAAUAUUGAAAAAUAUUUUUCGGACAGUGUAAAACUAUUCCAAGCGCGAUUAUUCAUUAGUCGUGUUUGUUAGAGUUUUAUAAGAUGCUGUCCGUCCACAGAGUCGCAGGACUCAGCCGGCGGGUUACUAUGUGGCGACUGAAGAAGUUGGUCGCGCAGAUGGGCUCUGCUGUCAACGAUCAACUUUACCUGCCUACAUCAAAUCCUGAUGUUGCGAAGAACGUCAAUAGUCAACUCUCAUUGCAUUCAAAAGUUGCAGUAGUAGAAAAUCCCCCUGCCGCCUUGAAGGAGGUAGCCCAGUUCCACUCAGUCACGGAUAUAUUCACAUCGCCGGAAUGGCGCAGCCUUCAGUUCGUUUGAUUUCUUUUGAAUAAACAAUUAACAAUAUUGAAUGUUGAUCAUUGAAAAA